UGCCAAAAAAAAGCAUGUUUCCUGUUGUGGAAAGAAGAAGAGCAAAGAGAAGACGGCCGUGGAGCUCGACGAAGAGCAGAUGACAAAAGCAGAACUGCACAACGAGCCUGCAGGAACCAAAUGCAGACCAAUCAGCCCCACAGAUUUCUAUCCAGAGUGCACUUGUGAAGGAAUUCAGAGAACAAUACUUGGCCUACGGGACACUGUGGGGCAUCGGUGCAGAAGGACAACACUUGUGUGUUUGUGCUGAGUGAGUGUGUGAAGGAACAAGCAGGACCAAUGGGAGUUUAGUUUCCUGAGCAGGGAAGCAUAUCACUAUGGCCACCUGCUCUGACCCAUCCAGGGGUUUGUCCAGAACAUCCCACGGCCGCUCGACUGGACUGAGAUCUGGGGAACGAGGAGGCCAAGUCAAACACCUCACACUGCUGUCGACUCAGCCUGACUUGAAAUGGCCAGUAUGACCUCAGGACUGGUUAUCCUGACCACUUCACCUGUCGGCGGUCAGGAUGUUGUGUCUGAUCGGUGAACUCGGGUAUAUGGAAAUCACACGUGUCGUCGCACCUGAGCGUGCACUCACGCUUUGGACUAAAUAACUCGAUCGGUGUUAAAGUGCAGUGUGUUUCUCAGGUUUCUCCGCUUCAUGUACUUUGAG